rnacentral:rRNA from 1 species
GACGAACGCUGGCGGCGUGCCUAAUACAUGCAAGUAGAACGCUGAAGGAGGAGCUUGCUUCUCUGGAUGAGUUGCGAACGGGUGAGUAACGCGUAGGUAACCUGCCUGGUAGCGGGGGAUAACUAUUGGAAACGAUAGCUAAUACCGCAUAAGAGUAGAUGUUGCAUGACAUUUGCUUAAAAGGUGCAAUUGCAUCACUACCAGAUGGACCUGCGUUGUAUUAGCUAGUUGGUGAGGUAACGGCUCACCAAGGCGACGAUACAUAGCCGACCUGAGAGGGUGAUCGGCCACCCGGGGACUGAGACACGGCCCAGACUCCUACGGGAGGCAGCAGUAGGGAAUCUUCGGCAAUGGACGGAAGUCUGACCGAGCAACGCCGCGUGAGUGAAGAAGGUUUUCGGAUCGUAAAGCUCUGUUGUAAGAGAAGAACGAGUGUGAGAGUGGAAAGUUCACACUGUGACGGUAUCUUACCAGAAAGGGACGGCUAACUACGUG